GACGAACGCUGGCGGCGUGCUUAACACAUGCAAGUCGAACGGUAAGGCCCUUCGGGGUACACGAGUGGCGAACGGGUGAGUAACACGUGGGUGAUCUGCCCUGCACUUCGGGAUAAGCCUGGGAAACUGGGUCUAAUACCGGAUAGGACUCCUGGCUUCAUGGUUGGGGGUGUAAAGCUUUUGCGGUGUGGGGUGGGCCCGCGGCCUAUCAGCUUGUUGGUGGGGUAAUGGCCUACCAAGGCGACGACGGGUAGCCGGCCUGAGAGGGUGACCGGCCACACUGGGACUGAGAUACGGCCCAGACUCCUACGGGAGGCAGCAGUGGGGAAUAUUGCACAAUGGGCGCAAGCCUGAUGCAGCGACGCCGCGUGAGGGAUGACGGCCUUCGGGUUGUAAACCUCUUUCAAUAGGACGAAGCGCAAGUGACGGUACCUAUAGAAGAAGGACCGGCCAACUACGUGCCAGCAGCCGCGGUAAU
rnacentral:rRNA from 1 species